rnacentral:rRNA from 1 species
GCAAGUCGAGGGGUAAAAUUGGUACUUGUACCAGAUGACGACCGGCGCACGGGUGAGUAACGCGUAUGCAACAUACCUCAAACAGGGGAAUAGCCCAGGGAAACAUGGAUUAAUGCCCCAUAGUAAUAAUUUAUCGCAUGAUGUAAUUAUUUAAAGGUCCGGCGGUUUGAGAUGGGCAUGCGGGACAUUAGUUAGUUGGUAAGGUAACGGCUUACCAAGACUACGAUGUCUAGGGGUUCUGAGAGGAUGAUC